UCACCUUUACUAAUUUAAAAUUUUAAAUAUUAAAAAAAGUCUAAAAAUGUAAAUUUUAAGGAGAUUAUAUGGUCGGAUGAAUUUUGAGAAUUAAAAUUGGAUAGAGAUUAUGUUAAUAUAUAAUUAGAUGUUUUUUUUUUACAUAUAAUGUAAUGUAAAUUAUAUUAUAUUAUUUUAAAUGAAAUUUUUUCAAUUUGUUAUUUGUAAAAUGUAAAUUAAAAUAGUAAUCUAAUUGUAAUGUCAAUAAAACCUUUUAAACUAGGCAGGUUCUUAGAGUUUAUAAAUUUUAACAAUUUGACCCUUAUUUUUUUUCUUUUCAACAAUUUAACCCUCAAAAUUUUAUUUUGAGUCAAAUUAUGAUUUUUUUAUAGCAAAUGUCCAUUAAACCAAUAAUUUAAUGAUAUUAACGUGAGAUGAAUAAUGAAUUCAUUUUAAUUCAACAUUAAACUUUUCAAGUAUCAUCUCAUUUGGACCAUCUUUUCCUCUAACUUGAAUAGAGGAUAGAUUGAAGGAAAUUCCAUUUGAUUGGUGCGCAAUUUUCCUCUGACUUGAUUAGAAUGAUAUUAUCAAAUGUUCUGACUUGAUUAGAAUGAAAUUAUGAAAUGUUCACUCUCGUAACCAUUUUUUGGAAAAACGGGAAUCGACUUAGAUUUUAAAAAAUGAAAACGAAAAACGGGAGUCGCCACCAAUCUUUUUUGAUGAGGUGUGAUCGGAUCAUCUUAAAUUAAUCAUUUUAAUAAAAGUCAAGAUUUACUAAAACGAUAAUUUUGGGUCUACGAAAAAUCAGAAAACGAGUUUGGGAGUCGGUUACGCACGAGGAAGGAUUAGCACCCUCGAUACGCCCAAAAUUGGUACCUAGUUGAUUAAUUAAUGUCUUAGUGUCGAAGAUUUGAAAACUUGAAAGAAUUUAAAAUACGAUCCCUCUUUAUAUUAACGCUAAAAAUGAUUAAAUAAAUUAAAACGGAUGUUAAGGACUCUCUCAUCUCGAAGUAAUAAAAUAUCAUGCCCAGUAAGUUAGAACACGACACCUCAAACUUUGAGACUGAGCUUGCCUUUUAUUUAAAAUUAAUGUAUUUUAACUCCUUUUAAAAAGGAUAUUCGGUUAAUGAGGGUGAACGAGGAAAAUUGAAACCCAGUAAGUUAGGGCACGUUUCCUCGAAUUCCCGAACACCGAAUAUUGCCUUUAUUUGCUAAAAAUCUUAUUUCGAGGUAACAGAAUGUCAUACCCGGUAAGUUAGGGCACCACACCUCGUAUCUCCGAAAAAAAGCAUUUUUAAAACUCGUAUUGUGGUUUAAAAGAAUAUUCUGUUAUUUUGGUUAAACGAGAAAAAUCGAAACCCAGUAAGUUAGGGCACGAUUUUCUCGAAAUUCCAAAUACGGAGUAUUGCCUUUAUAAAAGAAGUAAUUUUGGUUGGAUAAAACAAAAAUUCGUAAUAAAACGAGAUAAUAGAGAAUGCAUGAGCAAAUAAAAAAUUUUAGUAUUGAUGGGCAUAACAUAAACACGAAUGUGAACGAUAGCAAUGAUUAGAGCACAAAUAAAUGAAUAAAAAGAAUAAAAAGAAAAUAACGAACAAGCUAGGAAAUAUUCGAAAUUAGAAAGAACUAGUAAUAAAUAAACAAUCAUUAUGUAAAACCAACGAGUGAUAGUAUAGUAAUGAUGAUAACAAUAUUAAUAAUAGUAAUAAUACAAAUAAUAAUUUUGGAAUGAUGUAUGAAAGUGUAUAUAUGUAUGUGUAUAUAUAAAUAAGUAAAUAAUAUAUAAAGUGAGUGAAGAAUAAAAAAUAAAAUAAGUGUAUUUAAAGAGUAAUGGAUAAAAAUAUAAUAAUAAUACAAUGGCAGUAAUAAUGAUAAUAAUAAAGUCUUAGAAAUCUUAAGAUGCUUAAACUUUUGAAUUUAAGAGACUGCAAAAGUCUUAGAAAUCUUCCAACCAGAAUUGGAAUGGAAUCUCUUGAAACAUUAAUUCUUUCGGGUUGCUCAAGUCUUGUAAGGUUUCCGGAGAUUGAUGGGAGGAUGGAACAUCUAAAAACUCUUGACCUUUCUAGUUGUUAUAAAAUUAAGUAUUUGCCAGUGAAUUCGCAACAAGUAGAGUUUUUGGAAGAGCUUGACUUGAGUGAAACAAGCAUAACAGAGCCACCAUCCUUCCUUUCUCAAUUGAAACAUCUUGAAAGGCUAUCUUUCAAGGGGUGCAAGGGACCAUCAUAUAAGUCACGACCAAAUUUGCCUUCUCUUUUCAAGGUAAUCCAAGGAAGAAGGACGAAUCCCAUGGCUCGGAUGUUGCCUUGGUUGUCAGUUUUGAGUUCAUUAAGAAUCCUAAAACUAAGGGACUGCAAUCUUUGUGAAGGAGAUAUUCCACUUGAUUUUUCUGGUCUAUCCUGUUUGAUGAAUCUUGAUCUUAGUGGUAACAAUUUCAUCAGCAUACCUGCAUCUCUUACUCGACUCUCAAAGCUUGAGUUCCUUCGCUUCUCAAAUUGCAACAUGUGCAGUCUUGGGGAAGCAGAUAUUCACGGUCUAUCCUCUUUGAUAUCGCUUGAUCUUAGUGGUAACAAUUUCAUCACCAUCCCUUUGGCUCUUACUCAACUUAGCAGGCUUGUAUCGCUUUGCUUAUCAAAUUGCAAGAUGCUUAAAUUCUUGCCUGAGCUUCUAACAACUAUACGAUAUGUGAGUAUAGAUGGUUGUGCUUCACUUGAAGUAGCUGCAAGUCCAUCAAAAGUAUGCAACUUAGUGGAUGAGGCUCACGUUUAUGCCAUUAACUGCUUCAAAUUGGCUGAGAAUAUCAAUGCAUUAACACUGCUGAGAAAACAUCUUAAGGUCGACUAAUCUCUAUUUUCUCCCUUACAAAAUCUCAUACUUGAGAAUUUAUGGUUUUAGUUACCAAACGACUUGUGUUUUAUUUUGCAGGCUUGUGCAAAUUCAAGAAAAGAGUUUGCUAUUUUUAUGCCCGGAAGUGACAUCCCAGAAUGGUUUAGCCAACAAAAAAGUGACUCUUCAAUUAAGAUACCCCUUCCGAAAGAUAGUCAAUGGAUUGGAGUUGCUUCUUGCUGCAUUUUUAUCAACAAUGAUUCUUCAAGAGAUGACGAGAGUAUCAGCAGUUGUGCAUAUAUCAAUUUCAGAAAUUCUGAACAAGCCAGCCGUGAUGGAUCUAUUUUUCGAGGUAGAAAUCGUAGAAUGAUUAGUGGGACGACAGGCUGGGUGGUGAGGCCCUUAAUGAAAGAUCACCUUUUUCUUCAUUAUUGGUCGCGUGAUAAACUAUAUCCAAUUUACAUGGAGUAUAAAUAUGGUCAUUGUGAAACCAAUAAUUUACGGGCAACAGAUUGCUUAGAUCAUAAAUGCGAUGAGCUUGAGCUGUCUUUCUCAGACCUAGAUGUUGAAGACAAUGCUAAGGUGAAGAAGUGUGGUGUUAGAAUAGUGUAUGAGGAAGAUUUGGAAGAAAUAAAAGAGUUGCAGUGCCAUACCACUCCAUCUUCUCACAUCCACCAACACUCUGCUCACAACCAUGGAUCAGUAGAUAGCGCUUCUCACAUAAAACGAAAAGCUAGUAACGCAGCGGAGGAAGAAGGGCCGCAACCAAAACGGAUGCAGAAAAUUUUCAAUUUUAUAAUGGGCCAAUCGGGGGAGAAGCAUUAAGUGUGGUACACUACUUAACCAACCUCCUGUUGAUUUGUUUUUCUAUAAAUCUAUCUUGUUUGUAUUUUUUAUUCCAUUUAAAGUAAUCAUUCUAAAUUUAUUUACAAAAGAGAUAUGAUCCUUUCAUUAUAUAUCAAAAAGUUUUAAAUUUUUUAUUCAUACUCACAUUAAGCAUGAGCUCAUAUUGCGAAUAUUGAUAAUAUAGGUUUUUAUACUAUUUAAAAUUUUAAUUACUUAUAAUUAAAAUGUGUACAUUUAUAUUAGUUUCAUUCUUUUAUUAAAUUUUUAUUUUCAUUAUAUAUAUAUAUAUUCACUUACAUCUAUAUUUUAUUUCUAAGUUGAAGUAAAUAUAAUCAAUUUGAGACACAAAUGUGGAGAAAAAAAAAUAUCAUCCAUGACAAAGCACGUAAUAAAAAUGUGAAAAUCCUCUAAUGAGGAUUAGAUCAUAAUUUCACUUGAGUUAAAAACCAACAUUUUUAUUUGAGAUCAAUUUAUGUGUUCAAUUUAAUCAGUUAAAAUUAUUUUUAUAUAUUUGAAAGAUUAAAUAUAAGUCCUUAAUAGUACUUAAAUAGGUUUAAUUCCUAGUAAUAAAAGUAGCAUUUAAAUUUCAUGGCUUGAAGUACUAAUAAUAUUAUUCCAACUGUUCAAUUUAUAUUUUUUACAAAGUAUUUAUGUUUAAACAUUUAUUUUUAACACUUAUUCAAAUAUGAAUAUAAAGUAUACUCUUUUAAUUAAUUGGAAAAUCUUUUCUGUGUGAGAAACAUGUUCAUAUCCAAUAUAUUUUUCAAAAUUCAAUAGAUUCAUUUUUGUUCUUGUUUAAUGUGAGAUGAUUGUAUUUUAUGUGAUAUUAACAAAAAUUUCUCGAUUAGAAGUAAAUUAAUAUACCAGGAAUAUAGAUUAUCUCAAUAGUGAUAUAGAUUAUCUCAAUGCAACAAAAAUAUUCUUGGUGUUUUAUGUUUAUCCCUUAGACAGAUAAAAACAUGAAAGUCUGCUCAAAGGAUCGUGCAAGUGAAGGAUCAGCAAAGGUUAUCAAGUUGAAAUGGAAGCAAACACUUAACACAAUUAUAGGCUCGGAUAAAUUUUUGGGGAGUGAAAAUUAAAUUAUAAUUUUUAUAAUAGUAAAAAUAUAAUUUAACUAUUUUAAUAGCUUAUAUCUUUAUAAAUUUUAAAUAAUUGAAUCAAACUUUUAUCAAUUUUAGAAAAAUUAAAAUGUAAUUUUACAUUUAAAAAUUGAAAAAGUUUAAAAAUGUAAAUUUUAGGGAGAUUAUAUGCUCGGAUGAAUUUUGAGAAGUAAAAUUUGAUAUAGAUUAUGUUAAUAUAUAAUUAGUUGUUUUUUUUUUUUUACAUAUAAUGUAAUGUAAAUUAUAUUAUAUUAUUUUAAAUGAUUUUUUUUCAAUUUGUUAUUUGCAAAAUGUAAAUUCAAAUAGUAAUCUAAUAAUGAUGUCAAUAAAACCUUUUAAACUAGGCAGGUUCUUAGAGUUUAUAAAUUUUAACAAUUUGACCCUUAAUUUUUUCUUUUCAACAAUUUAACCCUCAACAUUUUAUUUUGAGUCAAAUUAUGGAUUUUUUAUCGCAAAUGUUGAUUAAACCGAUAAUUUAAUGAUAUUAACGUGACAUGAAUAAUGAAUUCGUUUUAAUUCAACAUUAAACUUUUCAAGUAUCAUCUCAUUUGGACCAUCUUUUCCUCUAACUUAAAUAGAUAGAUUGAAGAAAAUUCCAUUUGAUUGGUGCGCAAUUUUCCUCACUUUAUAAUUGGUGCACAAUUAUGAUUAGAAUGAAAUUAUCAAAUGUUCACCUCUAUUUUACAGCGAGAAUGUUAUAACCUUACAAACAAAAUUCUGAAAUAAAUGUUCUUAAAGACAAAUUGCACGAAAUAACUAAAUCUCAAGUUUUAUUCUGAAUUAGAUUUGUCCAUUUAAUACAUAAUAAUUGAAUUUAUCACUAAAUCCCUCCCUCACUAGGAAUGCAUAAAAGUCUAUUCAAAUCAAUUUAUCUGACCCAAACUGAUGUAAUUCCUUUAUAUACAUAUCUAGAUAUGUAUCAAACAUAAGUGUUAAAUAUAGGUACUUAGAGAAAAUGAAUGGGUUCGUGUAAUAUAGGCUAUGAUAUAACCAACAUCCAUGUAAAAUCGAGAAAGAUAUGAAUAAGACGAUCUUCUAACUCCCUACCCCAGGCCCUAAUAUAGGUUAGGGUAAUACACUAAAAACAUAGAUCACCACUACUCCCCACCGUAAACAUUCUAAAAUCACAUGCAAAAUUCUGUCGAGCUCGUUUUAGCAUCUAAAAAGAAAAAAUAAUAAUAAUAAAAUAGAUGCCUAAACAAAGUCCGAAUACGGGGUGGUGAGAUACAAGAGAUGGGAAAUCAAUCAUACCAUACAAGAUUUAGUCCUCAUCCAUUCCUGCAGGUUGAUCUCUCCUCGCUGGACCUCCAGCUGGUUUCGCCAUGAUAAUCUGCAAACAUUGAAUCAACGGCAUUACUGAGCUUAGUGGAAGAAAAUGUUUGGAAAAUGAAAUACAUAUGCAAUCCUAAGUAACAAAUACAGCUUUGCAUGAGAACCUAAUCCCAUCAGCAAACUAUUUUAAGUGCGAUUUUCAUUUUCAAGCUUUCUGUCUCUAGUAAAUUACCUGAUCUACACGCAACACAGUGCAGGCAGCCUCUGCAGCAUAUUUGAGAGCCAAAAACCUGACAAAAAAAGUCAACAAUUGUAAAUUAUAAAAGAAUUCGAGGUUAAUUUUCGAUGCAAAAGAGAACAGAACUGAGCCAGAAAUAAUUGUAAAUAGCGACUUACUUAGUGACAUAAAGGUCCCAAACAUUCACGGUUGAGACAUCCUUGCAAACACCGUCCUCAGAGUCGUCUCCCCUCAAGUCGAUGCCCACUUUACCAUUCCCAGAUGCAUGCUUUUCAUACAACUUAGAAAUAAUAUCCAUUGGAUUGAGUCCAGCAUUCUCUGCCAGGGUUCUCGGUACCAAUUCAAAACUUUCAGCAAACUUAGCAAUGGCAUACUGAUCCAAUCUGCAAAAUAUCCCGUAGUUAAUAUUAAUAGCUUCUUCUAGUACUCAUCUAAUCUACUAUAAAUCCCAAAAACCUGUAGGAGAUUCCCAUCACAGCUAUGAGAAUGAACAUAACCAAUGCCAGAUAUAAAUAACAUGACAGCCAACAAUGCAGAAGAAGACUCAUUUGACACCUCUCCAGCACUAUGCCUGAAUACCUAGUUGUUCAGCAGGUAGAAUCAUGAUGGUCGGUCUUGCACCUGUUCCGGUCGUACCGACCACUGUCGUACUGACUACCUUGGGUAGAAUUCCAUCAAGCCACAAAUGUGUUCAUGUCAUUCAUACAAGUGUAAUGCACAAACUUGCAGCUUAAAUAUGAAACAAUACAUGCAGGAUGGCAUUUUGCAUUAAGAAGAGCACUAGGAAAAAACAAAUCACCCUGUUUCCUUGAAGGAGAACUCUUUCAGUCUUCUCGCCAACUCGAUUUCUGUAGCAGCAGCUCCAGGUACCAUACGACUAUCCCUGCACAUUGCCUAACCAAAAAUGAAUGGGCAUUAAGAAUGGGAUAAUGAUUCUUUCCUUGGAAUUUACAUCCAAAAAAAAUGGAAAAGACAAUUUCAGCAGGUGAGAAUAAAAGAAUUUAAUCAGGUUUAUAUGGCAUUCAAAGAAAAAGAUCAGCACAAAAACAACCUUAUAUGUAUUGACUCCAUCAUCAACAGCUCUUUCAAGAUCAUCCAAUAUACUAUCAGUACUUCCUCGCAGAACCACAGUGGCAACCUUGUUACCCCCAUCUUCACUUCUCACAACAGUGACCUACAUUAAAUUGGCAAAGGCAAAAUAGAGUGAGGCAAGGACAAGGAACCAAAUAUAAGUAAAGCCACCUCUUCAAACAUACCCGAGAACCACCGAUUUCCUCAACUGAAAUUGAAUCAACAAAUCCCAAAUCAUCUGGCUUUGGUUGGCUGAGUUUCAGCUGUCAGAAGAAUUAAAGGCCCAUUAGGUUGCAAUCAAAAGAUGUGAUCUUUUUUCUUAUAACAUAAUCUAGAUAGAAUGCUCACAAGAGCAGAAGUGCCUGUUGUGCGGCAGAAGCGUCGUAGUUCAAACUUUGAGCUGAUUUUCAAGACCAUUAGCCUGCACAAAUAAAAUCACGUAUCAGAGAUGUUGACCAAGAGAGCAAAAUAAUUGAAAUAAUUUUGAAUCCAAAAAGUAGGUGAAUCUAUCAACAACAACAUAUUCAACAUCAUGGGCUAAAUAUCAAAUCAAAACAAGAAAGAGCAAAGUAAAGAGUUGGAAAUAUGGGAAGGAAGCUUGAUGUACUUGUAACGGUCACAGAAAUGCAAUGCCAUUUCCCCGACUGCUCCACCACUAACGAUAACUUUGGCACCAGAAUCAGCAACUGCUUUAAUGAGCUCCUCAACCUUAGCUUCUUCAGUUUUUGCAUAAUUCUCCAGCUGUAAGAAAAAAACAUCAAGAGAAGCCUUCCACAUUUAGAAUAUUUAACCAACAAAAGCACCCUAUACCAAUUUACAAAAUGUAAAGACGGACAGCAUGAGAUAAGAAAAUCAUUAUGCCCAUUGUGCCCAAAACCACAGAUUUUAAAAUAACAGGAAUGCAUUCAAAACAAUUUGCCUUCUAAUCAGUUACUUCUUUCAUAUGAUCUCCUAUUUAAAAAAAGAAUUAAAAAAUUAUCAUAAUUUACCUGCUCAGCAGAGUGAAUCAAAACAGUUCCUUUUGUUUCAGUAGCAGUUGAAUCAACACCAGUAGCAAACACAGCCACCUAACACGAAGUGAACACAACAAUACAAGUCAAAAAGCAACAAGACCUUUAACUUGGCCAAGUGAAAACUAUCAAGCAGCUUUGUAUAACUUAAAUUAAUCUGAAAUGGAUAAAUAGAAAGAAAAAAAAUUACCUUCGCCUUCUCCACACGUUUUAUACUUCCCACAGCAUCACCUUUUAAAGCCAUUCCCCUAAUUACUGUGCAAUUAUGCAAAACUCCUCCAACAAGCUUUGACACACGGACAUUAUCAACAUCAAAGUUCACAGGGUUCUUGGGGCAGACUUGGAUGCAAGCCUAAUGACAUACAAAAAUAAAAGAAAGAAAAUGCAAUUAUGUUAUCCUUCAAAAGGCAAUAGAUUCUAGAAUAAUUGAUUGGUUACGCAGAGAGCAACGAGUUGUGAAUUACAUCAGCUAUAUGGGAAGACAAUAUAUCUUCCAGUCCAUAUUGUUUGCUAGCAACAGCAGCUUUCAUUCGACUAACAACUUGCUCUUUAUUCCGUACAUCCAUAGUCUCAGAACCUUUCUCUACAAGCUCCUCCAAAAUCUCAAGUGUCUACAAAAGUUAAAACACAAAAACCAAUUCACAAAUGACAGCACAUUUAUCAUCACAAUUAACAAUACUCAGGUCAUUGAAGUCACUUAAAAGUGCAAAGGACAAACCUUGGUAAUUGCUUUAGUAUAUCCACUGAUUAUCUCACUCGGAUGCAAGCCAGUCCUAACAAGCUCCUCAGCAUUUUGGAGAAGCUCUCCGGCAAAAGAAAUUGUCAAAUUAGCCCCAUCACCAAUUUCCUCUUGCUGAGCCUUACCCGCCAGAACUAAUAUCUUUGCCGCCGGAUGCUGAACCUCAAGCUCAUUGACAAUGGUAGCAGCAUCAUUGGUAACAAAGAGCUUGUCUAAAUGAUUAAUAACCAUCUUAUUCAUACCUAAAGAACAUUAACAGAAAAUUAAAGCAAAUAAGGCAUUACAAAAAGAACGAUCAUCCCGGAUUUCAGGAAAAAAAAAACAGAACAAUAGUAGCAUCAUCACUCGCAAUAAAGAGCUUAUCUAAAUGAUUAAUUAAAAAUCAUACUCAUACCUAAAAUACAUUAAAACAAUUGAUCCGAAUUUCAAACAGAAAACAAAGCGGAAUUCAAAUUAAAAACAACAAUUAAUAAAGAAAUUCGAAGAGAGAGAAGGGUACCGUCGGGGCCGAGGGAAGUGCGGGUGAUUGUUGAGAGUUGCUUGCAAGCAUCGAUGUUUUUCAAAACAGCUUCAUCGAGACCUGAGAGAUGCUUGUGACCUUCCUUAAGCAUCGAUUGUAUGCCAUGAGGUUGCAUUGAGAACGCCAUUUUUUUCUUCUUUUUUUGCACAAACCCUAAUCAAAGAAGAGUAAAUUAAAAAAUCAAACCCUAGAAAUGGGGGGAAGUGGAACUUGAAUUAGUCUUGAAGAAGGAAAUAGCAAAAUGGAAGUGUAAGUCAGGCAAACCCUAAAACACUUUCUAUAAAGGUUUGUCUUAGAUGUAAGCUCUUCCUUUCAAAAAUCCAUAGAUUUAAGAUUUUCAAAAACUUGCAAAUUUAGUCUCUAAUAUUUACUUUUAUUAUCAUUUUCGUCCCUUUCUUUAAAAUCACUUAACUUUUAAUUUUUAUUUUUUAAUAUUUAAUAUUUUUAGUCACUUUUCUAUAAAAAACAAUUUAAUUAAAUUUUGAAAUUUUAAAGCUAAAAUGAUCUAAAAUAAAUAAAUGUUAAGAAAUAAAUUUAUUAUUAUGCCUAUUAAAAUUGUGAUUUAGAUUUCAAAGGACUUGUAUCUAAUGAUAAAUAUAAAUUUAGUAGAUUAUUGUGAAAAUGGAAAAAAAUAAAAAUAUAUAUAUAAAACAUUUAUAUAAAAGAUAUAUUUAUAUUUAAAGGGAUAAUUUUUAAAACUGCAUAUUAAUUUUGAUUUAAUGUGUAAUUUAAUAUAUAAACUUUGAUUGGGUGUAAUUAUACAGAUAAAACUUUUUUUUGAACGAUAUAAACAUGAAACUUUGAUCGUGGUUAAAAUUUAUACAUAAAAUUUUGAUUGUGAUUUAGUCAUACACAUUUAAAAAAAUAUAAAUACAUCAUUUUCUUUUCAUAUUAGAUUAAUAUGAUUAUUUGUGUAUACAAUAUGUAAAUGUAAAAUGGAGUUAUAUUGAUAAUUAUUUUAGCAAUUUAUAAAAAUUAAAUCAAAUCAAAAUUUCAUUACUAGAAUUACAGAAAUUCAUAGUUUAUGUAUAGCAUUGCACGUUUUAUCAAUAUUCAUGUAUAAUUUUGAUAUUUUUCCCUAUUUUAAAUCCACAAAUAAUGAUUUAUCCCGUGAAUUAUACAUCAUUUGUUAAUGUAAUACCUGUGGUUUUUUGCUCUCAAUUUGGUACAUGUGAUUUUUUUCAGUUAACCGCUUUAACCUAAACCAUUACAAAAAGUGACUGUGGCAAUAUUGGAUCUCGUCACAUCGUGGGUCUUGUGACCUUAAGCUUAUGCAUUCCGAUGUGCAAAUGAAUCAAACUAAGAACUACCUAGAAUCAUGAAAAUGGACAACCAAAAAGUAACGCCAAUGUGCUCUUCUUAAAGCUAGGUCUUCUUGACCAAAAGGCAUUAUUGGCACUCUUCUGAUUGCAACCUUGUUGAGCAGAUGAAGCUUCACCACCAUGGUCUGUUGCAUGUAGGACUCAUCAUCAGAAGUUGCAUGACCUUCACUACUCUCUGACUAGCUACGAUCUCUAACUCGACUUAUUGGCAUUUUUUGGGUUAGAACCUUUAAGGACACAAGAGGGAUUAAAAGAAAGGAGAGGAAGCAUAAUAUGAGUUUCGUACAAUAGGAAUAAUACUACCUUCUUUGUGCAUAGUCAACACUAACAAAUGAAAUAACAUUAGAGGAUGGAAGGUCUCCAUUAAUACAUUGUCAAAAUGGGUGAAGUUAGAAAAUAUUUUUAAGGGUCAAAAUUAAAUUAUAAUUUUUAUUAUAGUAAAAAUGUAAUUUAACUAUUUUAAUAGUUUAUAUCUUUAUAAUUUUUAAAUGAUUAAUCAAACUUUUAUCAAUUUUAAGGAGAUUAAAGUGUAAUUUUAUCUUUACUAAUUUAAAAUUUUAAAAAUUAAAAAAGUCUAAAUGAAAAUUUUUCUAUUUUAAGAGAUCGGAGUCCCUGCCAACCUUUUAACUACGCCCCUUACUGUCAACAAAUUUGCUAUCCAUUACAAGGACUCAUCAAUAAAAAAAUUAAUUUUUAAAGGCCAAAAAAUCCAUUUUAUUAUAUCUAGACAUACACUAUCUUUUAAUUUUUAUUUAACUAUUAAAUAAUAAAAAUAUUAUAUUUUAUAAUUUUUCGACCAAAAGAAAAAUAUUUAAUUAUUGAUAAAGUAAAAUUUAAAAGUAAAGUAUAGUAGAUAUUUAAUAAAUAUUAAUAAAUAUAUUUAUAUAAAAAAUACAAAUAAAUGAGGUUUUGAUUGAAAUAGUAAAUAUAAUAUUUUAUGUGUAUUUUUAUUAGCAUGUGUAUUUUUAUAGAUUUUACAUAACAUAUAAAUAGAUAAAAAAAUAUUCUUAUACUAAUGUUUGUUGGCUAAAUUAGGCAUUUAUGUUGAAAAGAAAAUUAGGGAAAUGGGUCAAAAUUUGUGAUAUUUAGAGAAAUAUGUUGAUUUUGGAGAAAGGAUGUGAAAAAACGUCCAGUGAGAUGUGUUUUUCUUAGUUGGGUGAAAGUGCGUCCUGCUGGAAGCGUUUUCCUGAUAAGUCAACAGAAAAUGCGUCUAGCAAGAUAGAUGUGUUUUCACUUUCUUUCUUCUCAGUUGGUUGACUUUUUCUAGAGUUAGGGUUUUGUGUUUUUAAGGUUUAUGUUUUUAAGGUUCAGGAUUGGAAUUUUUUAGCGAAAUACUUAGGGGGUUUUGACUUUCUCAUAUCUCUUGUACAAGAAGAUGUUAUCAAUUUGUACCAAUGGCUUACUGUGUUGAAAUGAUUUUUUGCAUUGCUUGAAACUCCAAAAGAAUUGAUGAAAAACUCUUUUCCCAUGAACCAAUUGAUCACGAUAGUACACAGACUCCGCUUGUAGAUCAGUUACGAAACCUGGUACAUAUCGAGCCAAUACUUGACACCAUUGUCACAGAUCAUUGUAUGACUUGUCCCACCCGUUAUGAAUCUUUCCUAUAACCUUUUGUUUUGCGACUCAUGCCUUGUAGUACGACGACGUAUAGUUGUACAGACUAUGAAUAUUGACAAUCACCUAUGGGAAAAGAGUUUUUCAUCGAUUUUUUUGGACUUUUCGAGCAAUGCAAAGGAGCAUUUCAAUAUUGUAAACCAUUGAUACAAGUUGACAAUGUCUACCUAUAUAGGAAAUAUGAGAAAGUAAAAAAAACUGUAAAUAUUUCUCUCAAAUUUUCUAACUCUAAACCUUAUAAAACCAAAAUCCUAACCUAAAAAAAAACAAUCGACUAAGGAGAGAGAAAGUGAAAACUUGUCUAAUAGAAUGGGUGUAUUUUUUGCUGACUUGUCAAGAAAACACUUCCAAUGGGGCGCGCUUUCACCCAAGUAGGAAGAAAACUCGUUCAGUUAGAUACGUUUUCACUCUCUCUCCAAAAUCGAUUUAUUUCCCUAAAUAUCAUAAAUUUCGGCCCAUUUCCCUGUUUUUAUGGCAAUAUGCCUAAUUUAACCAUUGUUUGUUACUUUACAAAAAGUUUUCGAAAAAUUUUUAAUUGAGUUGAGACUCAAGUGAUAAGUAAUACUAAAUCAAUCAAACAUUUUUAUAAUAUCUUACUAAAAAUUCUAUCACAUAUGUAUGCAUUCGAAAACUCCAUAUUUAGAACAAAAAUAUCUACUUAAAAAUAGCACACAAUAAAUAAUGAAACGUAAAGUUUGAAACAACAACAAUAACGACGACACAUAUGCAACAUAUAUGAAAUUAAAUUUAAAAACAGUUUAAAUUGUGAGUAAAAUGAAGUUUAAUUAGGUAAAUACAUUAGAUUAAUAAAAUUAAAUACACUCCAAUUAUUUAUCAUAAUAUUACCAUUUUUCUUAACUUGAUAUCGAGUGAACUUGUGACACAAAUUCAAUCAACAAAAUUAUCAUUAUAUACAAAUAAUGUGGGUGAAACAAUUUGUGUACUAUCAUUUAAAUGUAUAAAAAAAUAAAAAUAAAACUUUGGUUAAAGUGAUAAAGAAAAGAUUUUAUAAAUUCUUGCGAUACGAGUUCAAAUCUCAACAUUUGUAUUUUUUUAUUUUUAAAAUAAUAAAAAGACAAAAAUACCCUCGUAAUAACAUAAUUUAUUUAAAAUAUGUAAGGUUAUUUUCGUAACUUUUUUAACUGAAUUAGUGAUGUGUCAACUUGUAUCAACAAUUCACACUUAAAUAAUAGUAUAUACAUAGAUUUUAUUUAUUUUUAUUUAUAAAGAAUACAUUUUAAUUAUGAUUUUCAAAUAAAUAAAUAAAAAUAUAUUAUAGUGUGAAUUUAUAAUAUUAUUUAAAUCUUUAAACUUAUGCAACAAAUUAAAGAGGUAUUAACUCAAUUAAAAAAUAUUAAAAAAUUAUUAUUUUUAAAAAUAAAUUAUAUUAUUAAGGAAUUUUUAUUGUUAAGAUAUUUUUGUAAAAAUCAAUAAAAUGAUAAAAUUUAAACUUAAAGAUAUUUAAUUGUACUCCUUUAUCAAAAUUUUAUUUUAUUAACUAUAUUUUACAUAAAAAAUUUCACCACUAUCACACUACCAUUACCAUUCUAUUUGCACUUCACUUUUUUUUUUUUAAAUUACACUUCAAACCCUUUUCGUAUUAGAAUUUUAUUAUGGUAGUAUGUUUAAAAAUAAUAUAUAAUAAAUAAUAAAACAUGUUAUUUAAAAUUAAUUAAUAAUAAAUAAAAUAUAUACUAUAUUAAAAUAAAAAUUAAAUUAAAUUAUGAGAAAAAUAAAAAUUAAACAUUUAAAUACAUAAUAAUAAUAUUAAAUGUAUUUUAAUUAUUUAUUAUAAUAUUAUCAUUAAUGUUAUGUUGAUAUCUAAUUAAUUUAUAACACCAAUUAAAUUCGAUAAAGAUAAUAAAGAAUAAAAUUAAAAUGUAUAAAAUAUCAAUUUUAGUUGAGUAGUAAAAUUAUUAUUUUAUGGAUCUAAAUGUUAUGGUUAAUGUAAAUUAUUUAAAUUUUAUUUAAAAAAAUUUAAGCACUCUAAAAUAAUAAUAAUAAUAAAUAUUAUUUAUUUAUUUAUUUAUUUAUUAUUAUUAUUAUUUAUGUUUGACACACAAAUGACCCUCACCGUACAUAAUAAAAUUUGUUUUCUCAAUCUUCUCUUACAGUUCUAUUCAAUCAAUCUCUCAAAAAAAAAAAUUGGUUUUUUCUGUAUCUUUCGAUAACCCUAAUUUUUGGCAUACCAUUUCUUUUUCCAAGUCUUGAUUUUUAUUUCUCGGUUUUUUUUUUCUAAAUCAAGCCCCCAAAAUGUAUUUUCUGAAUAUUUCAUCAAGAAUCGGAGCUUGACCCAUCACGUUUUUUGAGGUAACCGAUCUUGUAAUUUUUUUGAAGUUUGUUUGAUGAUCGGUUUUACUUUUGAUUAUUUAUUUUUUAUGAACAGUUGAAUGAUCAGAUUAGAGAUUGUUUGGUUACUAAAAUCUGGUUUAAACUGAUUAUAAAAUGGAAAGUUUUUGUGUGAUGUUUUGAAUUUUUUCUAUCUUUUGAAUCAUAUUUUUGGGCAAUCAAAAAUGAAUAUGGUUGAUCAAAAGAUUGUUGAUUUUUAUUGUAAAUUAUUGAUUUUUUUCUUUUUGCUUGAUAUUUAAAUGACUGAUACAAAUAAUCUAUGAAGUUGGGAUUUUUUUAUCAAAUAUGGAAUGAAUUUGCAUUGAUUUUUGUAUGUUUUUAGCUACAUUUGCUUUAUAGCUAGUCUGUUCUUGGCAAAAAAAAAAAAAGAUUUAUUUUGAAAGACUAUUUGCUAAAUAGUCUAUUUGAGAUAGCUACUUAGUGGAAGAAUUAUUUGUUUCCUCUUUUGAUAUAAUUUGCUCACUGAUUGUAUUAUUAUUGUUUAUAAUUUGAUAUCUGGUAAUGUCAUGAGAGACAGGGUUUUUAUUCUAAGGGUAUGUUAAAAAAGUUCCAUAUAUAGUUACAUUGAUUAUAUGAGACCUUUCCGAAUAUGUACUGUUUUGCAUGUGAUAUGUGUUUAUUGGUUUCUUUUAUUGGUAAAGUUGGUUACUUUUAUGUUAACAGAAGAUUUGAAGGGGGUAUCGAGGGAAUUAAUUGGAAUGUGAAUUGUAUGGGGUGAAGAUGCCAGAUUUGCGAAGUGGAGCCCGGAGAUCGAAACGCAUUGAUGAUCUUCAGCCUCCUCCUCCUCCUCAUCCUCAACCAGUUGAACAACCGGAGAAUUGUGUACUGCUUGCUCAAAACCGAACCAGGAGGAGAGUUGGUGGAAGAGGGAGGGGUAAUGCUGCAGGUGUAGCCAAAGGGCCCUCAGCGGUGGUACCUACGAGGCCAACAGCUGCUGGUAGAGGCCGGGGCAUUAGGUUGAUAGAUUUAGACCCCGAACCUUGUCAGGUUCUUCCAGGGGCUUUACCUUUGGUUGCUGCUGAACCGGCGGCUUUUAACCGAGUAGAGGUGGUGGCAGAUAAAGAUAUUGCAAUGGAGGGUAGGAGUGGUGACAAAAUAGUUGGAGUUGAUGAAGAAGCUAGUACAACCCCGGUUCCUGAAAGGGUAUCUCCAAAGUGUUUGCCAUAUGUUUCCUUUUUAAAUAUAUUUAUUUUUUACUUAAAUCUUCCAUAGUAAGUUGCUUAUUCCCGGGACACCUUACUUUUGGCAAGAAAACCGGUUAAAUACAGUUUUUUUUCGUAUCCUUCAUGACAGCAUUUCAAGAAUGCUUCAACUAAUUGGAUAAUCAUUUCUACUUCUAUUGUUCAUGAAAGUGAGGGAACCAGUGUUUUAACUUUCUUACCAACGAUAACGUACGUAGUUAUUUUGUUGUUUCUCUCAAUGCAUACCAUUUUUAUUAUUUGUUGCAGGUACAAGUGGGUAAUUCUCCUGUAUAUAAGGUAGAAAGGAAACUGGGAAAGGGUGGUUUUGGCCAGGUUUAUGUUGGCCGAAGGGUAAGUGGUGGUAGUGGUAGAACUGGACCAGAUGCAAUUGAGGUAUGUCCGAGAAAUUCAUUCCCAUGCUUAAGGGUUUUCCAGAUCAAACCACUUGGAUGUGAUGACAUGAGAUUUUUUCAUAACAGGUAGCCUUGAAACUUGAGCACCGAAACAGUAAAGGUUGCAAUUAUGGUCCGCCUUAUGAGUGGCAAGUGUACAAGUAUGGCAUUUAUAAUCCUAAAACUUUGAGUCAAGCUUUUGUUUCUACAUAGUGCAGCUUCUAAAUUCUUACUUUUUUUCUCUUGAUGUCCUUACGAAAUGCAAAGUACCCUAAACGGGUGCUACGGAGUUCCUUGGGUGCAUCACAAGGGUAUCCAAGGAGACUUCUACGUUCUGGUGAGCUUUUAUUCUGUGCUCCUUUGUGUCAUAACACCCGAAAUACUUAAUGCAUCUUAAAGAAAAUUAAUGAAAUUUUCAGGUGAUGGAUAUGCUCGGUCCUAGUCUUUGGGAUGUUUGGAAUUCUUUAGGACAAUCGUAAGAAAUAGAUUCCUCCUCUUUUGUCUUUGUUGUACAUAUUUGAGGCGCGUCUAGAUGAUUCUACAAUACACUUUCAUAUUUGUAAGGUGUAAUAUGACAGGAUGUCUCCUAAUAUGGUUGCCUGCGUAGCAGUGGAGGCAAUAUCAAUUCUUGAAAAGCUUCAUUUAAAAGGGUAUGUCAUAUCUGAACUUUCUGCACUUCAUUAAAUUCAUCCUUCCGUUUUGCAUUGUUGCAGCUGAUUGUUUAUUGUCUUCUUGAAAUAAGGUUCUUGCAUGGGGAUGUGAAGCCUGAGAAUUUUUUACUAGGCCGACCUGGAUCAGCUGAUGAGAAGAAGCUAUAUCUUAUUGAUCUUGGUUUAGGUAAAUUAUCCUCGGUCCCAACUUCCCUUCUGCUGUGUUUAGCAUGAGCGCUUAUAGUUAACUGUUAGUGUUCUCUUCUUCUUCAAUGGGAGAUUUCUCUACGAGAUUAUAAUUUUCUCUCAUGUUUUUUAACCGAGCUGGAAUAAAUGCUAUUUGCUAAUGGUAUUAAUUGCUAUCUGCCUCUUGUGUUCUUGGAUCAGCUUCUAGAUGGAAAGAUGCACGCUCAGGUCAACAUGUUGAUUAUGAUCAGAGGCCUGAUGUAUUCAGGUUUGUGGACUUUUUGCUUUAAACAUAAGAGGGUAUUGCUUAUACUUGGUGCUAAUAUCUUCAAUAUUUCUUUUAUCAGGGGAACAAUUAGAUAUGCUAGUGUACAUGCACAUUUAGGUCGGACUGGAAGUCGUAGGGAUGACCUCGAGUCUUUGGCAUACACAUUGGUAUUUCUUCUAAAAGGGCGGUUACCAUGGCAGGGUUAUCAGGUUUGUUUCAUUGUUUCGAUUAUGGAUUUACCUAAUCUGGUAUACUUCAUUCCUCUUUACCAUCCUGCCUUUUUUGGGGCUUCACAGGGGGAUAACAAGAGUUUUCUGGUUUGCAAGAAAAAGAUGGCCACUUCACCCGAGUUGAUGUGUUGCUUUUGUCCUGCACCAUUUAAGCAGUUCCUCGAAGCUGUUUCAAAUAUGAAGUUCGAUGAGGAGCCCAAUUAUGCCAAGCUAAUAUCCUUCUUUGAAAGCCUAAUUGAACCAUGCACACCAUUGCAACCAAUUAGAAUUGACGGAGCUCUUAAGGUGGUUGUUAUGCCUUUUCCCACAAUUAAAUCAGUUCGAUAGGUUGUUCAAUUAAAAAACUUUUUCUUGGUUUCCUUUUGUAUAAAUAGAUUGGGCAAAAGAGGGGAAGAAUACUCAUUAACUUGGAAGAAGAUGAGCAACCUAAGAAAAAAGUACGAAUAGGUAAUGCUGCUACUCAGUGGAUUUCGAUUUACAAUGCUCAUCGCCCUAUGAAGCAAAGGUAAAAUUGCAUUUCUUGUUAAAUAUAGUAUCCAUUUCUACUACUUAUUGUUGUGAAAUGCUCAAAUAUUUUAUUUUAUCUCCAAUCUUUAAUGUUUGUUGUGUGAUCUUAUAUUCAAGUCGGGCCCCUCCUCCUAUUGCCAAUUUGUUUUAUGGUUGAUGCUUGGCAUGGUAUCGGAUCCUUGGUUUUCUGUUUCCGGCCUAUCCCCAUGUGAGGUUAACUUACCCCACGUGGCUUUCCACAUGUGGCCCCUUGUUAGCUGCAUUUAGGGGGGAGUAUUAAGUUCUGUUAUCCUACAUCUAUUAAAAGUCUUGGGUAUGCUGUGGUCUUAUAUUCAAGUUGGAUUCCCCCACCUAUUUUCAAUCAGUUUUAGAUUCAAUCGAUGCUUAACAACUUUCAUUAUUGGUGUCUUGUCUUUGAUGAUUAAACUUUUACAGUGACUGGCCAAAACUAAAGUAAAUGACAAAAGACCCAAUACUCAUUUCAAAGUUUGCAUGUGGUCCAUUAAAAUUUGAUUGCCACUCCUUGAUGUUUGUUUUCCGGUGCAUGCCUCUUUCCAUGAAAUGCGAGAUAUUCAACUAUGAUGCUUAAUGUUUGUUUUUGCCUAGAGUUCGCUCAUCUUCGGUAUGUUCUCAAUCGGUGUCCAUCUGACCUUUAGCUUUUUACCAAUCUUGUAGAUAUCACUACAAUGUAGCGGAUUUGAGAUUGAGCCAACAUGUGAGUAAGGGUAAUGAAGAUGGUUUGUUUAUUAGUUGCGUGGCUUCGGCAGCUAAUCUCUGGGCCCUGAUCAUGGAUGCGGGAACUGGUUUCUCUUCCCAGGUUUAUGAAUUGUCAACCGUAUUUCUACACAAGGUGAUCAUUCUAAGGCCUAAUUGGUGUCAUUUUUAUGCUUGCUUUAUGCGCCUUUUUUACUUUGGACUUCUAAUAUCAACUCGAUUUUAUCAGGAUUGGAUUAUGGAGCAGUGGGAAAAGAACUACUAUAUUACUUCAGUAGCUGGAGCAAACAACGAGAGUUCCUUGGUUGUUAUGUCGAAAGGUUGGUCAUUACAUACUAAAUAUAUUUCUUUUUAGACUACUUUGAAACUAGAAAACUUUUACCUUUUUAGCAGUGUCAUUGAGUUUGCUGAGACCACUGUCAUGCACAGAUAAAUUCAUAUAUUAAAAUUUAUUAAUGAAUCCCAGUGUUAAAGACUUGUCGAAUUUAUGUUCAUCUUCCUAAACCUGCUGCCAUAAUGCUGAAGUCAUACUAUGUUAUAUCCAAAGUGGUAUGCUUAAUUUGAAGGGUCUUUAGAGGGUCGUAUCCCAUACUCAUGUCCAAAGGUGUCCGACACAGGUACUUAAAAGAAAAAUGACGAGUCGAAGCAACAUAGCAGUCAUACACGAUCACAUCUUAUUGAGAUUAAAUUUAGUACUGAUGUAAAUAUGAAAUAGUCUACAGUUUAUGUUUCCUUCUAAAGGCUAGAACUGACUCCUUGGUUUCAAAAAAGCAAAAACCAUUAGUUUUUAGGGCUUAUUUUCAGCAAUUAACCUUUAGAAAGAAACUAAUGUCAAGCUUGUGGGUUGCAGAUGAGAUCAGUGAAAGCAAUAUGCUCCGAGCUUGCCCGAGAUUCAUAUAUAUUGAAAGCAUGUAAAUUAUAUUGACCAUCUAAUCACAAGCUAUUAUUGAUAUUCUGUGACUUCGUAGGGACUCCUUACACCCAGCAAUCCUACAAGGUGAGCGAAUCUUUUCCGUUCAAGUGGAUAAAUAAGAAGUGGAAAGAAGGCUUUUAUGUAACAUCAAUGACAACUGCUGGGACUCGCUGGGGUGUGGUAAUGUCAAGGAACGCUGGAUUCUCUGAUCAGGUAUUCCUUUCUUUUGAUCUUUACAUGUAUCUUCAGUUUUCCACUGUCCUCCAUUUCCUAAGUAUCUACUUACGCGUUGUUUUGCAUUUAUUUCAACCAUUCAAGGUUGUGGAGCUCGACUUCUUAUAUCCAAGUGAAGGAAUACACCGGCGAUGGGAGAGCGGUUACAGAAUAACAUCAAUGGCUGCAACUGUGGAUCAAGCUGCCUUCAUACUUAGCAUUCCAAAACGAAAAACAACAGAUGAUACUCAGGAAACGCUCCGUACAACUGCCUUUCCCAGCACCCAUGUAAAGGUGGGUAUACCCUAUUUUCGCACCUCAAUAUCCUUUUAACAUCCAUAUGAUGAUUGAUCAUUGGUUUGGAUUUUAAUGUUACAGGAAAAAUGGGCAAAAAACCUAUACAUUGCAUCGAUUUGUUAUGGUCGGACAGUUCGCUAAUCCCGGUCUGUACAUUCUGACUUAAACCAAAAAAAGAAAAAAGAAAAUGAGUUCAUGGUUUGAAAGCCACCGAGUAUCUUUCGUCUCGAGUUCGGUUAACUCUUCUAUAUAAUCUUCUCAUAUGUGAAUGUAAAAAGGGGAAAACUUGAAAAAAGAAAUGCAUAAGUGAGAAAUUGAAGAAAUGAGUUAAAAUUCCUUGAGCAGUUUUUCUGUUAUAAGCAUAAAUUUGAUGGUAAGCCGUCUUUUAUUUUAUUGAGAGAUAUCAUUAAUGGCUGCAAGUAAAUGUGCAGUGAAAAUCUUUCACCUGAGGAAAUAUGCCAAUACUUUCAUAUACUUGAUAAUCUGUAUAUUUAUAACAACUCUUCUAAAGUUUAUAAGAAUUUGCCAUAUAUUCAUUUAGUAUAUUACUAUUUUGGUUGGAUUGGGUUAAGGUUAAUAUCCUACGGUUUGCCUUCCUUCUAGAGGUGAUUGAAUCCAUAAUUCAGAAGCUUUUUGAUUUAAUCAAUUAUUUUUAUUUAGUGUUUGGUGUUAUUCAUGUUAUCAUAGGAAUGUGACAUUCUUUGAAAUGUAUUUCUCGGGAAAGUUUGGUUUGGUAUACAUUAUCAAGUAAUGAUAAAUUAAAUUUUUAUUUUUAUUAAAUAAAAAUAAUAUUUAUGUACUUAAUAUUUUUCUUCAACUAAAACCAUAUUCAUUAAAAAGAAAGACAAAAUGAACAAAGUGAAAACAAUCUAUAGAUUUAAUUUCUAUUUUAUUUUUAACAAAAAUUUAAGUUAAAUCUUUAAUAAUAAAUUUUAAUUGACAUUUUAAUUUUUUUAAUUUAUGAUGUUAAUUGAAAGUAAAUUUCUUUUAAAUCUGUCUUUCAUAUAUUUUGCAAAUAUAAUAAUGAACGUAUAGAAUUCUGUACAUAUAAAAUUUGUUUUAUAUAUAAUAACAGACAUUGAGGUUAAUAUAGGAGAACGUUAGGGGUGUGUAAAUUUCGGAAAAAGUUGUGUAAAUUUUGGAUAAAGUUGAGUUAAUUCAGUUAAUCGAAUUAGUUCGGUUAGGGGUAAGUUAAUAAUUUUUUGGAAGUUUAGUUAACAGUUAAUUUAAAUUGAAAUAGGUCGGUUAACCAAAUUAACUGAUCUUAAUAAAUAAUAUUAUAACAUAUAAGUAUUAAGUCAGGGUUUGUUAGUUCGGUUAAUUUUUUGGAAGUACAAAUUAAUCGAUCAGUUAAUUCGAUUAAUUUUUUUAUGUUUUAUAUUUGUUUUAACCAAAAAUAAAAAUAUAAAAUUUUAAUUAAUUCGGUUAACCGAUCGAAUUAACCGAAAAAAUUCGGUUUGGUUAAUUUAUUUUUUAACAAGAUUGGUUUAGUUAAAGAUUAAGGGUUUAAAAGGGUCGGUUAAUUUAAUUAAUGGUAGUUUGAGUCGUUUAACCGAUUGAACACCCCUAGAGAACAUGGGUUCGAGUGCGCUGAAGCACAUUAUCCUCCUAUUUAUGGGUUGAAGAAGGGCUAUAGGUAGUUUUAGACAUUGUGUUAAAAAUAAUAGAUAUAAUCAAAAACUAUAAUGAAAUUAUUAAAAAAAACUUAUUUUUGAAUAAAUUAAAAAUAUUAUGUAUAUAUAAUACUUACGAAUAAUCUAUUGAAAUAUAUAAAAAAAUCAAGUUGUAAAAUAAAAGAAGAAGAUAAUAAUUUUAUUUUAUUUUUACGUUUAUCAAAGAAAGAUUUUAAAAUAUUCUAUGUAUUGAAAAAAAUUUCAAAGUCCAUCAUUUGUACUAAAUUUUGUUUUAAUACUAAUUUUUUUUAAGAAAAAUGAAAAUAUAAAGGGAAAAGAUAAGUUUAAAAAAAAAUUAAAUUGUUUAAAAAUAUUCGAGCAUUGGUCAAAUAGUUUGAUAUGUAAUAAAUAGAUAAUAUUAGUGAUUAUAAAAAUACAAUGAGAUCUUAGCUUAGUUAUCAAAGACGGAGGCUCUAGGUUUUGGUAUUUAGAUUCGAGGCUUAUUAUGUGCAAUUAUAUGCGUAGAUUUUUGAGCUCAUCAUGUAUGGAAGUUUUAGUCUAGAUAAUCUUAGUUUGUUGGGUUUAGUUAGGAUCGUAUCAAUUUUUAGUUUGUUAAUAUUGUGCUGUAAUAGUUUGAUUCUAUUCAGUGAUUACUCGGAUAGUUCAUUUGUAAUAGUUUGAUACUUGUGGUUACUCAGACUUGUAUUUGUAAUUAUAUUAUACUUGUUACACUUUAAAAAAAAAUUUGAAAAAUUUAGUAAUCAAAGUGUUGGUAAAAGUACCAUGAAGGCCAUUAUACUAGAAGUCAAAUUGCAUUCUACCCCUCUACUAAAACAAUGUGUAAAAUAGUACUCGUAAAUUAGAUCAAAAAGCAAAUUGGCAAUUCUAUUAAAAAAAUCAUUCAUAACUACUACUAAAAAUUGGUUCUUAUACAUAUGACGUGUAACUGUCAGAUUUUUCUAUGAACUACAUCAAUUUUUAAUAGAAGAAAUAGAUUAAAUUUUGAACAGAAAGGAUUAAUUUGCUCCUUAACAUAAGGUACAAGGAUUAAUUUGCCCUUUUUUUUAGUAAAGGGGGUAAAAAUACAAUUUGAGUCCUAGUAUAGAGACCUCUAUGGUACUUUGAGGUAAAUGACUUAUUUGGCACUCCAAUUUUACAAAAAAAAAAGAAGAAAAGACUAUUUUAGUUCUUCAUUUUAGCCCUUCACGCGUAUGUCACGUCAAUAAAAUUAAUAAAAUAUUAUUAUUUUUUAUUCAUUUUUAAGUGAAUUAAUAAACAAUUCAAGUUCAAGUACUAAAACAAAUGAAAAAUUAAACGGAAAACUAAAUAACUUUAUUUUAUAAAGUUAGAAGUUAAAAUAAGCAAUUACACUAUACUUUUACCUUGAAAUGUGAUCAAGCCAAUGAACUUGUAGUUCACCGUCUUGAAAAUGUUUAAGGCAAUUUUAUUUUAUUUUUUAGAACUACGAGUAUAUUAACAAGUUCAAAUCAGUAAAAUAAAUAAUUGUUAAAAAAUAUCAAAUAAUUUAAAAAUAUAAAUUCAAAACUUGAGGAAUUCAGCACUACAAAAGUUUAUCAAAAGAUUUUUAUUUUAAUUUAAUUAUUGAAGCAUAUAAUAUUAAUAAAUAAAUUAUAAAAAUAAUCACUUCUAUUUAUCUCAUAUUAUAUUUUAAUUAUUUAUAUUUAAAGUAUUAUAUUUUAAUUAUUUAUAUUAACGUUUUAUUAUGAAAUGAUCACUCUACUGUUAAGAUUUACUAUCUCCAAAAAUCACACUCCAACAUGAUAAUUAAAAUAUGUUUUAAAUUGAGUAAAAAUAAUCCUAUAAAAUUGAGUAAAAAAAUUUAUAAAAAUAAAUUCAGACAAAUUUCUGCUCAUGAACGCACAUGCUUUUAACUAAAAGGAUAGUUUAGUAAUUUAAUAUACUAAGAAACUGCAAAACCCUAUUUCUCCUGUUUCUUACAAAUUUUUACUCCUUCAAGUAUAAACCCUUUCAGGAGAAAAAACACUUGGAAGCCUCACCUCGGAGAAGCCGAACAGAGAGUGUGAUAAAAAGGCAAAAUCCAUGCGACCACCGAGAGGAGGCGGAGGUUUCCGUGGCGGCAGGGACGGUGGCAGAGGGAGAGGAGGUGGCCGAGGAGGCUUUGGUCGCGGUGGUGGACGUGGUGGCGGUGGGUUUCGUGAUGAAGGCCCUCCUGCUGAAGUAGUGGGUUAGUGUUUUUUUACCCCUUUGUGGUAAUUGUUAUUUUGGUUUUCUUGUUUGGAUGCUAAGAAAAUGAGAGGAACAAUAAAAGAAACCCCAUUUUGAUGCAGCGAGGAGUAAGUACUAGGUAGUAACAUUUUUUAUUUACGGUUUUUCUUCCAUUGCCCUUUGCUUUGUCUAUAUACACACAUAUCUUGUUGGAUGCUUAGAAAAUUAAAUUUAAUUGCAAAAUUAGGGAUAAAAGCAGUGGUUUUGUUGCAAAUAAGAGCUCGGAUGUGAGUGCAAGUUAUUAUUUUGGUUACUUAGCAGUAAAAGAUAUUAUUUUGUUUUGUUACUCGAACUUGAGUGCGAGUGUAAGAUACAAUUAUAUCGGACAUUGGUAUGUCUAAUUUCUUAAAAGAACCUUCACUUGUAGGAUUGCGUUUUGAAAUUUGUGUCUGAAAAUAUGUCCGAUACGGGUGUCAAUACACCAUACUUAAACAACAACGAACAAUCUGGGCAAUAAUUUGACUUAACGAACAAUCUGGGCAAUAAUUUGACUUUCUUUUGUUUGUUAUUUAUGCAGAGGUAUCUACAUUCCUUCAUGCUUGUGAGGGUGAUGCAGUGACAAAGCUGAGUAAUGAGAAAAUACCUUUCUUUAAUGCUAACAUCUAUCUGCAAAACAAGACCCAGAUUGGGAAAGUCGAUGAAAUCUUUGGUCCUAUCAACGAAUCUGUGAGUUCUGAUGCUAGUUUUCAAUGCAUUGUUCUUAAAUGUUCUGGACUUUCAAAUGCAUGUUGGUUUAUUUGCUUUCUUGCUUGUUGCAGUAUUUUUCAAUCAAGCUGUUGGAAGGUAUUGUAGCGACCUCGUACACUGCAGGUGAUAAGUUCUAUAUUGACCCAAGCAAACUUUUGCCUCUUGCUAGAUUUCUUCCACAACCAAAGUAUGUUUGCUUUUCCUUAUAUUCUUUCAUUUACUGUCACAAAAUUGCUUUGCUUUGAUUUAUUUUAUCGAUGCUUGUGUCCUGGAUUUGUUUUGAGAUGAUCUAACCAAACUUGUCGAGUUUCAACCGAACUUGCAUGGGGAAAAAAACUGAAAUUUUUGGGUUUCAACCUCCCCCUAUAUGUCUUUUUUUAUCUCACAAUCAAGUUCGGAGGCUAGGCAUGUUGGUUUCUUAUCUGAAAUUUUCGGGGCAAGUUGUGGGGCAGUUCUAGAUAAAAUCCACCUUGCCACGAACUUAUAUGGGAGAAACAAGCGAACUUUUUGGGUUUCAACCUCACCCUAUAGGGCUUUCUUUUAUCUGACAAUCGAGUUCGGAGGCUAGGCAUGUUGGUUUCUUAGCUGAAAUUUUCAGGGCAGGUUGGGAGUGGUUCUAGAUAAAAUCCACAUUGCCCCGAACAUAUAUGAGGAAAAAUAACCCAACUUUUCAGGUUUCAACCUCACCUUAUGGGUCUUUCUUUUAUCUGACAAUCAAGUUCAGAGGCUAGGCAUGUUAGUUGCUUGGCUGAAAUUUUCAGGGCAUAUUGGGGGCGGUUUUAGAUAAAAUCCACCUUGCCUCGACUCAAUAUUUUUACUAAAGUACCCCCUCUUUUAAUUCUUUAACUUUUUUUUUAAUAUAUUUGGUUUAGUUGGUAGAUUUUUGGAAAUGGUGUUUAAGUUUACAGAUUGGGAGGAGUUCUUUGUUUCAGGGGUCUGGUCUUGGGAGCUAGAUUCAAGUCAAGUUCUGGUUUCCAAUCUGUUGCUAUCCUCAUAUGCUUCAAUUUAAUUUAUCUUUUGAUGUGAAAUUGGUAGUUUGCUGGAGUUCAUAUAAUUGGUUAUGGUACAUAAUAUCACAUGAUGUAAUUUUUUAGGGGGCAAGCACAAGGUGGUGGAAGAGGUGGUCGUGGAGGAGUUAGAGGUGGCGGUAGAGGCGGUGGUCGUGGUGGAUUCCGUGGAAGGGGUGCUCCUAGAGGUGGCAGGGGUGGUUUUAGGGGCGGUGGCCGUGGUGGUGGUUUUAGAGGCAGAGGGAGAUUUUAAGUAAUAACAUUUUGUAACAGUACCAAUGCCCAUUUAUUUUAUCCUUUUGCAAUGUCAUGGGCAUUGAACUUCGAAAAUUUGAUUCCGAACUUGAUUGCGACUGUAGCAUGUUCAACACAGAUACGUUCAUCUCGUACUUUUGUCAAUCGAAAGUGCCUAUAACCAAGUUUAUGAUACAUGCUGGUGAUCCAGCUUAUUCCCCUCUCCACGAUAGGUUAUGCUCUAUUGUUCUACUCCGACAUAAGCCAAGCUCUGAGGUUGAAACUUUAUUUUAUUUUUUAAUAAUUUCGUUAUAGAUUUCGAUCAUAUUUGUUUUUUUUAACAUAAUCUAUAGAAUUACUCAUAAUUUUUUUCCAACUCAUAAAUAUGUUUGAAGCGCUUCAUACUAAUCGAUAAAUUGGCAACAAUAUUCAUACUAAUCGAGUUAAGAUUUAAUUGAUAAAUUGAGAUUUGAAUUUUAUCUAAAGAGUAUUUGUUUUUGAAGUUUAGAAAUUUAGCAGCUUGAUUUUUAUGCAUUAAAUUUAAAAUCAAUUAUUUUAUUGUAUUUUUGGUAAAAUUACAUUUUCAGUUCCUUUUAAUUUUGAAAUUGAGUAAACUAGUCUUUUUGAAAAAAUAGGAUAAUUUAAUCUUAUCAGUUUCGAAAGUGAGCAACUAAAGAUAAUUAAUUAUGAAAUUAAUGUUUUUCAUCCAUUGUACAUGAGUUCGAUUGAUAUAAUAACAAUUUAGCUUUCAAAGUUUACAUGUUUUGUCAAUUUGACUUUAAUUUAACAAAUUUAUCUUGCAACAUUUUCUGAAUGUGUACAUAUUGAGGAUGAAUUUGUUGAAUUUUUAAGAAUUAAAGUCAAAAUGACAAAAUAUAUAUGUCGAAACCAUCCCUCGAUUAAAAUUUUUUUUAAUUUUAAUGAAAAAUGGUGAAAUCGACUUUUUGGGAAAUAGAAAUAUGGAGUCUGCCACCGAUCCUUUUGUUUUGGUGUGAUCGGGUCACCUAAUAAUUUGGUUAUUUUAAUAAAACAUUUUCGGUUUACUAAAACACCGAUUAUAGUCUACGAAAGUGUGAGAAAAUGGGCUCAGGAGUCGGUUACGUAUGAGGAAGGGUUAGCACCCUCAUUACGCCCAAAAUUGGUACCAAAUCGAUUAACUAUUGUCCUUAUGUCUAAAACUAAAAAUGUUUUUGAAAUGUGGUUCUUGUUAACAACAUUUGAAUAACCCGAGUUGGUUGCUAAAAAUCUCCUUGUUUCGACGUCCGAAAAUUUAUAAUUUGAAAAUCACAAAAGGAUGCUCAACUAUUUAGUCCAACGAAAAAAUCGAAACCUAGCACAGUAGGGUACGAUUCCUCGAAUUUCCAAACAUUGGCCAUUGCCUUACCUUACAAAAUACGUGUGAAAUUCCGAGGAGAUAUUCGAUUAUUUUGGACAAAUGAAAAAGUGCAACCCAGCACGAUAAGGCACGAUUCUCAAAUCGCCAAACAUUGAACAUCGUCUUUGUUUUUAAGAAUGUUUUCUAAAAGCGAGUGAAAACCUAAAGGAAUAUUCGAUUAUUUUGACUAAACGAAAAAUCACAACCCAGCACGGUAGAGCAUGAUUCCCGAAUCAUCAAACACCGAGUAUUGCCUUCGUUUUAAAGGAUUUUUAGAGGGGCUGAGUGAAAUUUUGAAGGGAUAUUUGAUUAUUUUAAACAAUCGGGGAAUUGCUACCCAACACGUUAGGGCACGAUCCCGCGAAUUGCCAAAUAUCACAUAUCGCCUUCGUUUUAGAGAUUUUAAAAGACACGUGCAAAAUUUUAAAAUGAUAUUCGAUUAUUUUGAACAAAUGCGAAAUUGCAACCCAACACGUUAAGGCACAAUUCCGCGAAUUGCCAAACAUCAAAUCUCAUCUUCAUUUAAGGGAUUUUAAAAGAUAUGAAUGAAAUUUCAAAGGGAAAUUCGAUUAUUUUGAGCGAACGCGAAAUUGCAACCCAACACGUUAGGGCACGAUUACGCGAAUCGCUGAACAUCAAAUUUCGUCUUUGUUUUGAAGAAUUUUUGGAUGAAUACUUAAGAACAUAUUAAGUCGAUUUGAAAUAAGAUGACAUUGAUCGUAGAAAUUGGAUUUUAUAAAACCACAUUUCGAAAAAAAACAAAUGAAAACGAUGAGAUGGGAUAAUAGGCGUAUGCAUAAAAAUAUGACAAUGGAAAAAUGAGGAUAAUAUAAUUUAUCUAAUCAACUACAAGGACUAAGCAUAACUAGCUUGGAAAUAUAACUCAACUUCAAUCAUGCAUGGAGAAUAAUUAGCUUGACAAUAAUGAAUACAUAAAAUGCAACGACAACAUACAUGGCAUAAUAAAAAUUAUUAGAGGCACCAAACAAAAUGCAAACCAAAGAAACAAUAUGGUAUAAAACUAUUUCACAAUAAUGACGAAUAAAUGGACAUAUAAAAUAUAGGUUGAAAAUUUGUAUAAAACUAAGGAUAUAUGUAUAAAACCUUUUUUGAAACUGAUAUUAUAGAAUGAAAGUUUAGGUCAAAUUGCAUGUAAAAUAUUUUAAAUACAAAUACAUUUAAAAGUUGACAAACUACAUGAUGAUUUAAAUAAUGUAACAUAAAAGAAUGAGAAUAAAGAUAUGUGACAAGACUUAAUACAUAAAAUAGAUUUAUGAAACAUGUGUACAUGUAUAAAAAUAGUAUUUAAGUGUGAAAUUUUAAACCAAAACAAUGUGUGGUAAAAUGUAUUCUUAAAAGGGUGACUUAUGUACGUAAAAGAAAGUAUAUAUAUAUAUAUAGAAAAAAAAUUAAGAGAAUUCAUAAAAUAACCUUAGUAUGGGACUAAAUAUGUACAUAGAACUAAAUUAUUAACCAUUUAUGAACAAAUAUACGUGAAACAUUUGAGCAAGUGUUACAUAGAUAUUUUAAAUAAUACAGUAUAAAAAUGGACUAUAAAAUGAUGAUUAAAAAUAUAUGAAAAAGUUAUUGAAAUAGUUCAACAAAUAUAUAAAAAUGUUAAGCACUUUAAAGUACAAAUAUUAUAAAUUGCAAAUUAUGAACCUUGAUUAAAAAAAAUGUACAUGACACAUAUAUAGAAUAUUUAAAGAAAUGUCAUACAAACAGCGAAAUAACAUGAUAAAAAGAACCUUGAACUCGUUACACAAAGAAGACUAUAGGUAUAAAAUCAUGGAUCUAAUAAAGUAUAUAGAUCAAAUAUAUGUACCAAUAUAUAUAUAAGUAUUUAAUCAAAAUGUUAUAUAAAAGUGCUAAAAUAAUUUAACGUGAAAAGAAUUUUAAAAAGAUGAUUUUAUAAACAAAAUAGAGUUUUCAAAAAGAACUCAACACAUAUAUACACGUAUAUGAAAAUAUUAGGAAUUUUAAAAGAAUAAGCAUUACGAGUCAAAAACUCAAUUAAAAUACUACAUGUACAAAUAUAUAUAUUAUCUAAAAGAAUAUUGUACAAGAAUGUUAAAAUAAUCUAAAUAAAAUCUUCAAAAACAAAUGUACAAAUAUAACCAAACAAAAUGAUUAAGAUAGAUCGAUAUAGAGAUAUUAAAUAUGUUUAAAAGGUAAGUUAUACAAAUAGAAAACUAAAAUAAAAAUGAAUUAAAAUAGGAUGAAUAGUUUAUAAAUAAAAAAAAUCGAAAAUUGGGUCAAUAAAUAAUCCGCGCAAGUAUGUAGGGACUAAAGCUGGAAAUAUUCUAGAUGCCCAAAACGCGACACUGUACAGUGGACUAGAGUGCAAACACGCACAAAUUGCAGGGGUAAUAAAGAAAAAUCCUGAAGCAUGAGUGCGAGCUGAUUGAAACGUGGUGCGAAAGGAGAGGGGCCGAUUUUGGAAAUAUACCCUCAUUGCAAAAACACGCGGGUCAUCGGGGCAGCAAACUGGAUCGAGUCGGGCCCGAUUAAACGACGUCGUUUCUGAGCCAUUGAAACGGGCUUAAAACGGCGUCGUAUUUGGUCCUUUAAAAGGACCUAAAGCUGAAUCAUUCGGCCAAACAAACCCUAGCCCCUCUUAUCCCUCUCGUCUGACCUUAGAACUCCCCCUUUAGCGCCGAUCUACGUCUAUCAGCAGAGACGAACAGCCCCGGGCUUCAAAGGAUGACCAUUUCGGUCGUGGGAUCCCUUCUAAACCCCGAUUUCGACGAAAUGAAGGGGAUACGACGGCCAACUCGCAAGGUAAACCUCUCUUUUGCUUUCUUUUUUUGUUUUUGAGAUAGAUUUCAAAAUAAAAAGAAAAUAGAGGCGUAAAAAUGAAAACAGGGAACAACCUUUGCAGAAUAUUCAACUUCUUUGUAUUUGAUUCCUCUUUUUUUUGUGUAAUCUGUUCGUAGUCGUAUUACAAUCGAAAAUCAAAGGCUUUAUAGCCGAAUAACUAAAGAAAACAACAAUUUUUGUCCUCUGCUUUUGUAUUGGCUUGUUGCUGCUUUCGUUUGUUUUCUUUUGCAGGUACGGAGCACGGGGCUGUGCGUUGGCGCUCGGGUACGGGUCUAGGCUAGGGUACGGAGGUGGUACGGUCGUUGCGAGGCUGUUGCGGCGCAAGAGGGUGACCUAGGGUUCCCGAAAGUGUUGAAGUUUUUGGGCUUUUUGGGCUAUUCGGGAUUGGGCUUAUUGGGCUAGGAUAUUAAGUUUGGUUUUUGGGUCAUGUAUUGGGUUUUAUAUAUUUUUUGUAUUUGUUUGUUUUGUGUUUACACGGGCCCAGGCAGAUUUGGCCCAUUACAAUGUAAACAUCAAAAGUUAAAUUUAUUAUUAUACUAAUAAAAAUUAUGUACAAUUGAUAGAGACAUUAACAAAAUAAUUAAUUGUCUGAAAUUGCUC
rnacentral:lncRNA from 1 species